rnacentral:rRNA from 1 species
AUUGAACGCUGGCGGCAGGCUUAACACAUGCAAGUCGAGCGGAGUGAUGGUGCUUGCACUAUCACUUAGCGGCGGACGGGUGAGUAAUGCUUAGGAAUCUGCCAUUUAGUGGGGGACAACAUUCCGAAAGGAAUGCUAAUACCGCAUACGUCCUACGGGAGAAAGCAGGGGAUCUUCGGACCUUGCGCUAAAUGAUGAGCCUAAGUCGGAUUAGCUAGUUGGUGGGGUAAAGGCCUACCAAGGCGACGAUCUGUAGCGGGUCUGAGAGGAUGAUCCGCCACACUGGGACUGAGACACGGCCCAGACUCCUACGGGAGGCAGCAGUGGGGAAUAUUGGACAAUGGGCGGAAACCUGAUCCAGCCAUGCCGCGUGUGUGAAGAAGGCCUUUUGGUUGUAAAGCACUUUAAGCGAGGAGGAGGCUACUAGUACUAAUACUACUGGAUAGUGGACGUUACUCGCAGAAUAAGCACCGGCUAACUCUGAGCCAGCAGCCGCCGUAACAC